rnacentral:tRNA from 1 species
GGGAAUGUGGCUUAGUGGUAGAGUGCUUGCCUAGCAUGCAUGAAGCCCCGGGGUUUGAUUCCCCAGUACCA